CAGACGGGGAGACGACCCAGCCAGGCGACGAGGAGACAGGAAACACUGCCUCAGCCGCCACCGUCACCGCAGAAGACGAGCAGGCGGAGAAGAUGGAGACUGACGGAUCAUCGCAGGACCCUGGUGUCUCCCACGGUACGGACCCCGGUGUGUCCCACGAAAAACCUGCAGACUGUGCCAACAGGGAAGUGGAGAUGAAAGCUCCGACCGAGGGCUCGCAAGGAUCUGAUUUAACUCAAACCGACAGCACUCAGUCCAAAGACCCGGGAAAUAAUGAAUAACCAGCGGAGGGGGGACACGCAACCUCAUGGAAGAGCCAGCCAACUGUGUGAGGGUCCACUACACCAGUACCGGAACCAAACAGUCAUGGCCUCUGACACUGGACCUGGGAGGAGAACAAAAGUCGUACACCACACAAACCCAUUCCUGAUUUUACUUAACUUUUGAUCUCUGUUAUGAAAAUUUGUCAUUUGAUUCGUUAUCGAUUGAAUAUGUAUGUAUGUAUAAAACAUAUGCUAGGAAACUUGAACAUAUCAAACCGUAAGAGAUGAGCCAUACUUCACUGAGUGUCAUUGUUGACGAGACAUUCCUGACGAAACCAUGCCGCGCCUGCUGACAAAAAGAUCGGCCAUUUUGAUAAAGAGCUUGUGGGUGCAUGUGCAGUGCAGUAGUAGUCACACUAACCAAACCAUGAAUACAGCAACCAGUAUUCAUACAUGAAAAUAACGUGCAAACAAAAAAACUCAAGAGAAAAGCUGAGCUUCGACCAUCUUUUGUUCCGUUGGAAAAGGUAAAAACAAAAGUUGCGCAGUGUUUUGUUUUGACUGGCUGCAGAGGAGAACUUGUCUGUUGGGCGACAGUUUGAAAGUGUGAAAACGUGCGACGGUUGACAGGUUGUAGAUCUGUACAUCAGAAUCGCUGCUUCAGCUCAGUAGUUGGUUGUCGUUGUCCCACAGUCCAGCGUCUUCGCCGCAGUGUGUUCCGAGCCACGGGCUCCCUGCCCUGCACUGUCACCUCAGCAGAUCACUGAUCAUUAGCAGCCACAUCUGCAGACAAACUCGUUAGACAGGAAGCAUCUCAUCAACGCCUGCCCACACACUUUACAGGAUGCGUGCAUCUUUUGACAGAUUGAUAAUUUAAUUUUUCUUCUUUUUGUUGUUUCCAAUGCAUGCUAGAAAUUCUUUCAACUUCACUGACAUGAACGGGCAUCUUAAGCCCCGGUCUCAUUCUCUUUGUCUUUUAACCAGAUUGUCUGUAAUUGUAUCAAAAGAAUCUGCCUUAUUUCACAUCAGACUUCAUGAACACAAACAGACAAAAAGUGACAAAAGUGCAAAUUCUUGGUUGUGUUUUGCUUGCAGGUGAUUUGUAAUUCUAAGUACCUGAUGUAAUGGCUGAUUCCUGUUGUUUCUUUGAUCUGGUCUAUUGGUUUCAGAAAUUAAGCAAAAAGCGUUAGAAUUUAUUUCCAACGUUAUUACAGUUCAUGGGUUCUUUUCAUCGGUGCCAUACUAUACAUCCAAUCAAAUUAUCAUGAAAUUAUGCCUUCAUAGUUUGGUGUUUGCUUUGCUAAACAAUAAUGAGAUAUAUUAAUAAAAGUUUACGGGGAAGUUUG